AGCUCCUCAUUGCCACUCUUCUACUUCCGUUGCUCCCAGUAUGAUCAUCCCCACAAAACCCUCAACUCUGUCCAAAGCCCUCUUCUCAAAGCCAGAUGGUACCCCUUUUCCCUGUCUUUGUCGUUUCCCAAUUCCUUCUCAUCUACUACUACUUCUUCCGGCUGCAGCUGCGGGGGCCGCCUUGUAUCUGCUAUGGCAAUGGGCGGUGGUGGUACUAGUAGUAGUACUAAAAAAGAGCAGCAGCAGCAGAAGAAAGCGGAAGCAGAGGAGGAGGAGGAAGUGGAGGAGGAGUUGCCCUGGAUACAGGAGAAGGCAUUGGACUUGGUCGAGUUCACGGCUCUGUUACCCAAGCCCUGCCCGGGCCUAGAGGUGGGCAGAGCUCCUUGCCCUGGGUUUUGGCUGUUCCCUUGGCUUAUUUGGGGAUUACCUUUGUCUUUGCUUUCGUUAGAACUGUUUGGAAGUUCAAUUCCACCAGAGGAAAACGUCGUCAAUUGACAGGUUUUGACAUGGAGGAAAUUCUGUGAAAAUAUAUUCGUUAUGUGUUGAAUGUGAUGCCAUUCAACCCAGAUUUGGUAGCAAAUUUGAUUCAACUGAGGAAAGCAUUAGGAUUGGAUGAUGCUCAAGUAGCUGGAAUUCUCAAUGAGAUCUCAAGACAGAUCGUAAAAGAGAAAGAUCCAUGUGUUCUCUCACAAAGUUUUGGGUUUUGGUAAAGGAUCUCAAUCAGUGGAAAGUGAAAGGAGGAAGCAGAGCUGAUUACCAAUUUCAUUUUGUCCAAUUAAUGGUGUCAUCUAUGCGGUUUCCACAGUCUCUAGGACCCUUAUUGUUUCUUCCAGUAAUCAUUUUGUGCACGCUGGCUGAAGAAGCAGCCAACAGUUUGGAUCAGCAAGCAAUUUUGCCUUGCAAAUUGAUGUAGUUAGCCAUAAAGAACAGUAGAGGAAGACGUUGCAGGGCUUUAAGUCUUUGUGAAGCAUAAAGUUGGAAUGUAAAAUAAGAAAGUUUGACAAAAUUGAUGCAACAGAGCUUGUAUUAAGCAAUAAUAUGUGCUUUGUCUGCUAAGGAAAAAGGCCUA